CAAGCAACAAGUCCGGAAAAAUCCUCAUGUGCAUAUUUUAAAUUUGGUACUGUUCUGCCCUAAAGCAUAUUUUGGAGUUGUUAAACAUGCAAAGCAUGCCACCAUGUUAAUCUAAGCUUUUUUACACCCCAUUUACAUAUAAAGUUUGUUAAGUUCGGAGCUACGGUUAUUUAUUUAUGAAAUAAAUCAUUUUAACAUGGCAUUUGAGUAAAUUUAAGCAAACAUUAAUUUAAACAUCUUAAACAUGAAUGAAAACAUCAUAUUAUGAAACUAGAUGCAAUUCUAAACAUUUUACCUAUUUAAAACAUUUUAAACCGAUGCACGGUUUGUGAGAUAUUAAAUGCAUGAACAUGAAGGACUGUUCUGUAAAUAUGCAGUUUUCUGGAUAAUUGCUAAAAUCGCAGCAGCAGAAAAAAAAAACAGAACAGGCUGAAACUAGCUGCCCCGAUAGUGCACAGGGGAUCUCGGGCGGCUGCUCACAUAGCGGGCCAUGGCCCAGGACGGCGAGGCCGGAUCUGGAUGUGGCCCUGGAGCGGUGCAGUAGAAGCGGCCCAAGGCGAAGAGGCCACGCGCAUGAUGCAGGCCCAGGAACGCGAAGCAGAGGGCGGUCAACGGGAUCGGGCGGUUCCAGGCGCGGGGGAACUGCUCUGCUCGUUUUUGAAGACAAACGACAGCGACGGGUUUCAGAGCGACGCCGGUCGGGAACGGGCAAGGGCGGCGGAGGUGAUGGCUCGUCGGCGUCGGGGCUCGAGGCGGCCGGGUGCCGCAUCCUCCGGCGACGGGGAUGACGCCGAAGCAGAGGAGGCGAGCGGAACUGGGCGUCGGGCGGGGAUGGAGGUCGGGGCGCCGGUGUCCCGUGGCGGAGGAAGACCAUAGUGGUGGCGGCUUGAUCCCCUGUCCAUGAAAAAAACAAAAAAAGGAGAGAAAGAGAGCUGAGCGACAGGAGAGGGAGAGGUUCAGCAAGGAAAAGGAAAGGGAAGGGAGCAGAGGCCUCGCGGCGCUGCUGGUGGUGCUCUCCGGCCGCGGGAGGACGGUGAGGGAGUCUGGCGGGCAAGGCGCGGACGAACUAGGCGGCGAAGGGCGCUACAAGGAGACGGGCCUCCACGAGCUCGGGCAGGAGAAGGAGGGUCGAGGAGGUCCUGCGGUGGCACUGCCGGCGAUGUGCUGGACUUCGGUGAGGCGAAGAGGCAGAGGGCGGAUGCGGGGAAGACAGAUCCGUCCGUUUCUCUGCUGGAAUGGGUGCAAAACAGUGGCGAGGCGGAGCUCUACUACGGGGAGUUGGUUGCCGGCGGCGCGACAGACGGCAGGGUCGAGGGGCUUGCCUUGGGAGGAGCUCGUCUCCCUGAACUCAGGCGGGAUCGGGAAGAGGCGAGGCCUCGGGCGCACGAGGCUGUGGGUGCGGGACACAGCAGCUCGAUGGUUGGGCGAGGGGAUCGAGGGAGAUUUGAGUGAGGGGAUCCCGAUGUGGAAGAUGAGACACGGGGUGGCGGCGACAGAGAAGGAUGGAUGGGACAUCUCCCUAAAAUUUAGGGUUUUGGUCUGAUUUUGUUAGGGGUUGCCCACUAUAUAUAGUAGGUGGCUAAAAAGAGAGGGGAUUAGAGCCUCUAGAUUUUGAUCGAACGGCUUCGGGUGGUCUAAACAAAGAACAGAUGAUGUUUAGGAUAACUCGGGAUUGUUCCGGACCCACUGGUCAUGACCGUGCGGAUUCGGGUUCGGGGAAGUUUCGGACAUGGUUGCGAAGGGUUUCGAUGCACUGUGCAAAGAGGGAUUCCGACAAAAGGCCACGGAGGCAAGGGCGGGUUAGGAUGGGUUUCGGAGCCUCUGAUCGCGACCGAUGGAUCCGAUCGGGAGGGGGGAUAGGUGGGCCUAGGUGGGAUGAUUGUGACUGUGUAGAAGGCCGAGGGCUGCGGGAGAGAAGAGAGAGAGAGAGAGACCCAGCAACAGUUUUCGGAGACCGAAAACGUCCGACGUUAGACCGGCUAUAUUGCCGCUAUAGUUUAACGGCUGGGCUAUCAAACGAGCUCCGAAUGCGAUGAAACUUGGCAGGCGACCUACUAACAACAUAACAACACCACAUGCCAACUUUCAACCCAUUCCGAGAACAUUUUCCGGCCACUUAUAAAAUAAUAUUUCGGACAUGCCGCUGGCGCGUGCAAGUGUGUCUGGGCUCAGAACGGACAACGGACGGAACGAGGAGAACUCGGACGGAUGCAAGUUUUGAAAACAUGACGAUGCAAUGCAGAUGAUGACAUGGCAAGAUGCAACACGCAAGCAAAUGACAUGGCAACGACAGCGAAUAACUGAAAGACACCUGGCACAUCGGUCUCGCUGGCGUGCUAGUCGACCUUCGUCCGGGUUGCGGUGGGAGCUGGUGGUGGGAAUCCAGACUGGGAGAAAUCCCUGGUCGGCUUCGGCCGGCCGUGACGACGAUGACGCCCGAGGGUGUCGUAGUUCUUCAUGGAGACGUUGGCCAAGUCUGCUCCACCUCUUCCUUGCCCAGAGCCUCCCAGGUGAAAAUCCUAACAGCGGUGGGCGGCGGCGGUGCUCUGCGUCGUUUCCUUCUUGAAGGCGCUGCCUUGGGAGCUUUGCGGUGAUGGGCACUAUUGGGUUUGUUCGAGGCGGCAACUGGUGUGCUCUUCUUUGUCCAAACAUGUGCUUUUCCUCCGACGUGGUCUCGCCAUGUGCAACGUGGCCUCUGCUUGCUCUUGGAGUGCCAAGACGGCGCAUCCGGUGUGCGCUAACCCUCUCUAAGUGACCCCCGGUGGCAUUCAUCCAUGUCCUUGGAACUUUCCGAACUUCCGACGGUGCGACGCCUUGCGAUCCAGGCGAGGAGGUUGUGGCCUCCUUCAGAGAUGGAUUUGGAUGGACGGAUUGCGCCGGGGUCCUUAGUGUUUGGUGAUGGCACGCCAUGUUGAUGCUUACUCAUUUCUUCUCCAGUGUUGGCAUGCUACUUGUUAUGGUUCUGCUGUGGAAGAGGACCUCGACGUUUUAAGCUCUUAGUUUCUUUGUAUAUCCUUCCUGUGCGAAGCGUUUGGGGCCUUGUUAGGCCUUGUACAAUGCUAGGUGCUUAGGAAGCUGCUUAGAAAAAUAAACCGGGUUUUCUCUGAAGCACCAGUGCCUAUUUCUAUAGAAGAGACGCCUAAUUAAGCAUCUACCCUGUACAAAUAAGCAUUGAUGCUUAAGAAAAGCCUGGUUUAUUUCUUCAAGCACCUCUCCUCAGCACCUUGCAUUGUACAAGGCCUUAGGUGCUUUCCAGCGCCUUUGUAUCUUUCCGUUUCCUAUUUGCUCUUGACGGUUGUUUGUUGCAGUUGUAUCCUAGCCGGUUGAUAGUUUUGUUAAUUCAAAGUCGGGCAAGGUGCGAAUCCUCUUGGACUCGGCUGCGUCUUUUCUCUAAAAAAGAAUAGUCACUUAUACUGAGUGAACACAAAGGAUGAUGGCGGUGCUAGUUGGAGCUAGUUGGUUUUUUUUUUUGAGCGGGAAGCUAGUUGCCCCAAAGGAUUUCAGUUGAGGAGAGUGGGAAGGGGGGGUGGGGGUCGGGGGGGUUGUUAAAUGCUGGAAAUUUUGAUCCUUUUGUGAUAAUGGCAUCAUCACAUUACAAAACAGUAAAACGGAGCUACCCACGCCCCUUCACAGCAAUUUGACGUCCUCUGCCGUCGGAUCAGGCUAAUGGACGCUACAAAUCUGCCGUUCGUUCCCUCGGCCGCGCCUGCGCGUUUUUCGCUCCGUCAUCGCGCCCCACUUACCCACCAUAAACGGGCUGCUGCUCCGCUGAUGGACCUAGGCAUUCUGUCCUUAAUCGGGCUGACUAGUCCUGAGAAACAUAGGUUAGGUCCAGGAAAGUAGAGUACACAUGCCCGUUCCGUGCUUUCUAUCAUCUCAUGACUUUUCCGCCACAUUGCCUCGGUUCUUCCCAAGGCGGCGGCGUGCGCCGUCGGCUUCAUUCCUCGCAGUUCAGCGGUCCUCCUAGACGUGCGUUGUCGUCUUCAUCCCUCAUGGUUAAUCCUUCUUUUUCUGAAGGAGCCCUAUUCCCCCGAUCGGCAUACCAGAUUAGCCUACAAAGUUGUACUGUUGUACAGUCCGCCCACGUAGAAGAAAUUCUUGAUGCAUGGAUUGAUCCUUCUUUUUCUGAAGGAGCCCUAUUCCCCCGAUGAAUUCGCAUGCGUGAUGCAUCCUCACGAAUCUCAUCUUCUGUAGGUAAACACAUCUCACCUACCCUUUAUUUGGACUAUUGAGGAAUCGCGUAACAGAUUGGUUCGUGCCCUGGUUCCAUUGAAUUUUUUUUCUUCUUGUGAGCUUGUGAGUCCUAUGCUUCUAUUUCUUCCCUCAGGUCAUGUUGACUCUUGUGCAUGGAUUGAUAAUUGAGAAAGAAAUCAAUGAAUUCUAGAAGAAAUCGCUUGCCAAUGUCACGGGUCCAUAUGAUUCUGCUAUGACCACGAUGGCAACAAUGAAACAAAUAUACCAAUGCCUUUAAAGAAGAGAAGUGAAUUCAGAAAAAGUUAAGCAUGGGAAUGUAUAAACCAACUUAUGUUAUGAUCGAGCAACCAGGGAUCGCACAUCACAGCUCCAAAAACACAAUGGUGCCAUGGGGUAAUUUUUAUCAUUUACUUCUUCAACACAAAUAUCAGUUUUUUGGUGCUUGUUGAAAGAGCUGCGUGGAUCUUCCAUGAUUCCUCCCAAGGUGAUAUAAUCUAUUUCUAUCUCUAUCUUCUUUUAUUUUGCGUGUGAUAUUUCUCUGUUUCGGUUGCAAAUCAAUAGAUUUGGAAGUAGUGCUAUCGGUGGAUGCAAAUCCAUCGACCUGUAAGUGAUGUUGAUGCUAGAUGUUUAGUUUUGCUCUAUAUGUAUAAAUCUGUGCUUGAAAACUGAUUGAAUUGAUCAGAUUACCACUUGUAUUUGUUCUUUGCCUGAUAUCAUGUGCAAAUGCUCUGACACUUCUUGUUCAUGACUUCUUAUAGUGUAGCCCAUUCAUGAGAACGUAUAUGCACUUCUUGUUCUUGUUGAGAUUAUACACUACCAAAAAGGGAUGAUUUCAUCGAUUCAACAUUGGUAAGGAAAAUUGUGCUACUGGUAAGAACAGAUGCUUCACAUAAUCAUUUCUUCCUCGUUUGUCCUCCUAAUAAGAAUAGGUACAUGCUGAAUGCGUUUCUUUCUGGCUCAUGGUUAAAACAGAUGUUCUUUUUGCAUUUUUCUGCUGGUAAGAGUAGAUGCAUCGGUCGAGUCUUCUCUUUUUGUAUUUUUUAUUGAGUAAAGCUGCUUAACCUGGGUGUAUCUUUUGUUGGUCUCUUCUGAAGUGAUGUUACACAUGUAGAUAAAUACAAGAAAUUAUGAGGCCAAUUCAUAUAUACACUUGUCAUUGUGAAAUUAUGUCUCAAAUUCUUUGACAAUGAUAAAAUAACUAUGUUUGUGCAUGCCUA